AUUACUACCUGGCAGGGGAGACACCACGAUCACGUAGGUGGUUUUCCCAGGGCGAGGCUCAGCCAUUGCACUCGGGCCGUGCUGACCCCUGUGAUUUCCCCAAAUGCGGGAGACUCGACUACAUGAUUUGUGGUAGUGGAGGGCUGCGUUCCCGCUCUCUCUGG